UGCGUAGGCGGGCUAAUAAGUCAGUGGUGAAAUCUCUCGGCUCAACCGGGAAACUGCCAUUGAUACUGUUAGUCUUGAGUUCGGUUGAGGUAGGCGGAAUGUGUAAUGUAGCGGUGGAAUGCUUAGAUAUUACACAGAACACCAAUUGCGUAGGCAGCUUACUAGACCGACACUGACGCUGAGGCACGAAAGCGUGGGGAGCGAACAGGAUUAGAUACCCUGGUAGUCC
rnacentral:rRNA from 1 species